CUAUGUCAAACAGUUCCACGGGAAACAUUAGAUGGAUACCCCUACUAUAGAGGUAUCAUAGAGGAAGGACAUUGGGCCGAUGGUUUGAUUUCCUGCUGUAGAGUGAUGCUUGCUACACGACUCUUGGCCUCUUACCAUAUGUAAGGAGGGUGUGAAGAAAUGACUCCGUUCAUCAGGAUUUCUACCUUUGUUGUGCAGUUAAUUCACCCAAUUCAGCUGGAAUUCAGGAUAUAGCUUUAAUUCCUACCCUUCGGAUGGAUUCAGGCGAAUUCCCCGUGUAAAAUCUAGGUGGC